rnacentral:rRNA from 1 species
AUGCAGCUCCUCGUCCAGACCCUCGGCGGCGCCGUCGAGCCCGGCGUAAGGCAGGAGUACGGCGACAUGGAGGUGGAGGUCACCGCGCCCUCCUCCGCGCUGUACGGGGAGGACGGGAAGCGGCAGUCCGUGUGGAUGAGCCAUGGCGACGAGGUCGUCAGGCUGCCCGAGGGGUUCGAGGUUGUGGCGCGCAGCGUGCAGGGCGCAAUCGCCGCCAUCGAGCACCGGGAGAAGCGCUUCUAUGGGCUCCAGUAUCACCCGGAGGUGACACAUUCGCCCCAAGGAAUGGAAACACUGCGCCACUUUCUUUUUGAUGUUUGUGGGAUUAAAGCCGAUUGGAAGAUGCAAGAUGUGCUGGAUGAGGAAAUUAAGACCAUCAAGAGUAUGGUUGGGCCUGAUGAACAUGUGAUUUGUGCGUUAUCAGGAGGAGUUGAUUCAACAGUUGCAGCCACUCUUGUUCAUAACGCAAUAGGGGAUAGGCUUCACUGUGUUUUUGUGGACAAUGGGCUAUUGAGAUACAAGGAGAAGGAACGUGUUAUGUCAACCUUCAACAGUGACUUGCACCUUCCUGUCACAUGUAUUGAUGCCUCGGAGAAAUUUCUUACCGAGUUAAAAGGAGUCAAAGACCCAGAGAUGAAAAGAAAGAUUAUUGGCAGGGAAUUCAUUGUUGUAUUUGAUGAAUUUGCUCACAUGUUAGAACAGAAGAUAGGAAAAAGACCUGAAUAUUUGGUUCAAGGAACAUUGUACCCUGAUGUGAUUGAAUCAUGCCCACCCCCCGGGAGCGGGAGGACACAUUCCCACACCAUCAAAAGCCAUCACAAUGUAGGUGGUCUUCCUAAAGAUAUGAAGUUGAAGCUCAUUGAACCACUGAAGCUCCUUUUUAAGGAUGAGGUUCGGAAGUUGGGAAGUAUCUUAAAUGUCCCAGAGUCAUUCUUAAAGCGACACCCAUUUCCUGGGCCUGGUCUUGCUGUACGUGUCAUAGGUGAUGUUACAGCAGGCAAUGCUUUGGAGGUUCUUCGUCAGGUGGAUGAGAUAUUUAUUCAAUCCAUUAAAGAUGCAGGCAUCUAUGAUGAAAUUUGGCAAGCUUUUGCUGUGUUUUUGCCUGUCCAAACAGUUGGGGUCCAGGGUGACCAGAGAACUCACUCCCAUGUGGUUGCUUUAAGGGCAAUUACCAGUGAGGAUGGCAUGACUGCAAAUUGGUAUGAUUUUGAACGCCCGUUCCUGGUUGAUGUGGUGAAGAAGAUCUGCAAUAACGUGCGAGGCGUCAACCGUGUUGUCCUGGACGUAACAUCAAAGCCGCCAGCAACGGUGGAGUGGGAAUAG